rnacentral:tRNA from 1 species
UCCAUGGGGGUCCAGUGGCUAGGACUCCACGCUCCCAACGCAGGUGGCCCAGGUUCAAUCCCUGGUCAGGGAA